rnacentral:lncRNA from 1 species
CACUAUCCAAUAGGAACAAAACAAUGACAACAAAGCGAGCACUUCAACGUAGAUACCAUAAAUCUCAUCUUGUUCCAUAUACCGAACAUUUCUCGUGUCCCACCAAACACUCCUUAUCACCCUCAAACGCUGUCGUUUAAAUCAUUCAAACAAUUUCACAAAUAAAAAAACCACAAUCAAUCAGAUUCCGAUUCUUCAAAAAAAAAAAAUCAAUCAGAUUCCGAUGACUAGCCCCGUCGCUCUCCUCCUCCUCCUGACGGCGGCGGCGCUUACCGUCACCGGAACUCCAACUGCCUACGAAGCCUUACGAACCUACAACUUCCCACCGGGAAUUCUCCCAAUAGGAGUAACCAAUUACGAAUUAGACAAAUCAAGUGGAAAUUUCCGCGCUGAUCUAAAUCGUUCGUGCAGUUUUUCGUUACAAGGUUCGUAUCAAUUGAGUUACAAAUCAACGAUCACCGGUAAAAUAACGGAAAACAGACUUACCGAUCUCAGGGGUAUAAGUGUCAAAGUGAUGUUCUUCUGGGUGAAUAUUCUUGAAGUUGUUAGGAAAAGUGAUAAUCUUGAUUUCUCUGUUGGUGUUGCUUCUGCGGCUUUUCCUUUGGAUGAUUUCUUUGAAUCUCCGCAGUGUGGC